CUACAUCAUCAUACAAUAUUUCAAAUUCAACAUGCAUGCAUAAAAAUCUCAACAGUCGCAGCGGAUAUAUAAACCAUUCACUUCGAAGCAUACAUGUCAUGGAUCAAAUAAUACAUCAACAUAGAUAAAUCUCUAAAUCCCAACAAUGGGUAAAUCUCCAACAUGAAUAAAUCCAAACAUAUAAUCUAGACCAACAUAAACAGACGCCUACAUCAGAGCCAUCCUAGACUCUACAAACACCGAUACCGGAGAUAGCUCCUCAUAUCCACCAAGCAACAAUCAACUCACCAGAGCAAACUAAUCAUGCACAACGUCUACCCAUCCAUACAGACAGGUAGGCGGUCAAAACCACUGGGGGUAAGUAUUACAUCAUCAUAAUCCACAUAACAGUUAAGCAUGAAUAAUUCAAUUCAAAUAUCAUGUACUUAAUCAAUGAUAAUAAUAAUAUCCAGAUGUAUACACAUACCAUAAUAUCAAUAUCUUACAUUAAGCAAUCACCAUUCACACGUGUCAUGAACAAUCAUCAAUCACAUUUCACCAAAUAGACUCAUGUCAUGAUAUGCACCUAGUUCGACACAUGACACAUACAUGCAUAUGGUACCAAAUCACUUCAAGGUUGUCACCUAUAUCUAGACCACCAAAGGUCUCUGCAAGACCGAAGCCCACAAUCUAGAUCACUGAUGGAUCUCUGCAAGGUCGAAGCCCACAAACUAGAUCACUAAAUGAUCUCUGCAAUGCCGAAGCCCAAUGAUGCAACAAAAACAUCAUAUAAAAUCUCAACACGACUAUGAUGCAUGGACAUGUAGCAAAGACUCGAUAAUGCAACAUCACCUCACAAUUUUCACAACAAUAUAGAGGACAACUUCCAAAUAUAUUGAUCAUCUCCACAACAAUUGCAUCACCAAGUGUACGUCCACACAACGAUCAAGUCAUAAUUCAAAUAAGAUUCAUUAUCACAUCAUCAAUAAUCAACAAUAUCAUUCAACAUUAACUACCUCAUAUAGUUUUACCAUUUCAAGUAUUUCUCACAUUCUAAGUAAGAGGACAUACAACAUCUUAUGACAAAUAUCAUAUCCAACAUAUAACCAUUCAUUCACACAUCUUCACUUAGUCAUAUAAGAAUAGUCACGAUAGAUCAUAAGACAAUUGACUUAAAAGAACCAUUUCCGAUAAAGUCUGUGUCAAGUGGCAAACGACCAACAUUGACAAUUCCCAAAACAAGGUAACAAUAUAAAGUUCGAAAACUCUCAAAACAAUCUUAAUCAAUCAUGCAGUCAUGAGCUUAAGCCACUUACAAACUAUUAAACCUUAGUUCAAAGAAUAGCUUAAGUUCGUAUGAGAAAACCCAAGUUCACAUUUUCCAUAAUCCCACCCGAAAAUCAAGUUUAGGCAUGGCAACAAAACCCAUACCCGUGGUUACCCGCCCGAACCAAACCCAAUUUGACGGGUUUUCCCCGUUUUGAUUGGGUUUGGGUAUGGGUAUGGGUUUUCCCCGAUCUCAAAACACGGGUAUGGGACGGGUAACAGGUAUAUAGGUACCCACCCCAAACCCAUACCCAAACCCGUCUCAAAUGUAAAAAACUACUUUAUGUUGAUAUGUUAUGUUAUUUUGUUUGAUAAUUGUCAUGUUAAUAAAAACUACCAUUGAUAUUUAAAGGAUCAACUAAAUAAUUUUCUCUAACAAAUGUGAAAGUGAGCUUAUUGUUGGAUAAUGUAUUACAACGUUGCUCUUGCGGAUGCAAAAAAACUUCUAUUUUUUUAUUAAAAAAAUUAUUCAAUACGAGGACGGGGAUACCCGAACCCGUCAGGGACAGGGAUGGGAUUCAAUUUCUCAUCCCUGUUGGGUAUGGGUAGGGUAAUGGGUAAGUAUAUGAGAAUCAUGUAUGGGGACGGGGAAGGUAAAAACCGUCCCCACCCCGCCCCAUUGCCAUGCCUAAUCAAGUUUGACAUGUUUAAGACAUUGUACUAACCUUACAAGCCUUGUCUAAGUCUAUAUGAACUAUAGACCAAGCUUGCAAUCCUUUUUGUUCAUAAAAUUCCAAUUUUCGACAAUUUCCGAAAAAUCGAAAACGACACAAUUACAAGUUUCAAACUAUUUGGAAAAUUGAAGUUUCGACAAAGCCAAAUGUGUUCCAAUAGAAAAGUAAGGGAAAACAACAAAAGAACACUUCAAAACGAUCGCCUAGGACCCCUACACGACCACCCCCAAGCACUCGGACACGGAACAACGUUCCCGUUGUCCUGUCCUAGGCGCCUGGCGCUAGAGGUGCAGCGCCUAGCGCCCUUGCUCAGGCGCAGCGCUCCGUAACGCACGUUUUCGAGUGUUUCUGCCGCGGGUUUUUGCCAAUUUUGCUCCAAAAUCGAAUGUGUAAAACCCCCAAUCGUCAAAAGUGAUCCGAGGCAUAACCCGAGAUUCUAACACGUCGAACUCGCUCGUUUCGUGGCAUUUUGAAUAAGUUAUGAAAUUGUUUAAAAUGAUUUUUCUCAAAACAAUAAGUCUUCAAUAACAACAACAAUUCAUUUCUUCCAAUUCAACACAAUUCAACAACAACAUCUCAACAUAAUUCAUAUCCAAGUCAUGAAAUGAGAUUAUCAUCAACAAUUAACCACAACCACAACUUAUAAUCAUGCAUGCCAUCAUAUUUGAACAACAUGUCAUAAUUCACCAAUUGAAUAUAAUUCACAAACUACCCAUUUUUUCAAAACCAACAACAACAACUUAUUUCUCAUCAUCAAAUCAUGAAUUAUGAACCCCUAAACCAUGAAUCAUCAACAACAAUAUCACUUAGCAACAACCACAUCAAUUGAACAUGAAUCUUACAACAAUUCAACAACAACAUAGCAUAAUUCAACAAUUUGAGCAUAUUUCAACAUAUAUCACUUUCUCAUACUUUGAACAUGAAAUUUCACUAACAACAAUUCAAUUAUCACCAAUUUCAUAAAUUCAAACAUAACAUCAUAAUUGGAGCACGGAUUUUAACAAUUAUGAACAAUUAAUCAUUUACUCAAUUAAGCACUUAUUCAUACAACAAUUGAAAAAUUGCACUAAAUGAUUAUGAUCAAUUCUAACUCCCUUACCUUAGUUAGAUCAAUUCCCUAGCUCAAGCUUCAUUUUAACUCCUAGGUUCUAUCAUCUUCUUGAAUCUUCAAGCUCCUCUUCUCUCUAACCCUUUUUAUUCUUUCUCCCACUUUCUCUCUCUACCUCUCUCAAAAU
rnacentral:lncRNA from 1 species